UGGUUUUCAGAUAUGUGCGGUUAAAUUUAAUAUUAGUUUUUUGUUUUUUUCCAGGUUCAAUAAAAGCACUUUUUUAGUUUAAGAAAAAUAGACUUUUAUUUGAGUAAACUAUUGCUACAUUGAUUACAUUUAAUUUUUAUGUUAGAUGGUAAUUUACCCAAACGGAAAUAAUUACGUAUAAAUCUUAUUACAAAAGCUUCAUUGAAUAUUUUAGUAUUAGGCUGUAAUAUUUUUAUAUCUUGAUUUCUUGAUAUUUUAUAGAUAAAAUAUAGACAAAAGUAUCCGCACUAUAUGGUAAUUGCAAAGUUUUUUGAUUCCAGCAUAAAUUUUUUGAAUUAACACGAAUAAAUUUUAUAAUUGAUCGGUUUUUAGGAGGUAAUCCAUAUGAGUCGAAGUAAAAACACGUCAAAUCUUGAAAAUAUAUCGCUAUCCAAUGUUGUCCCUGCUUUAGAAUGUUAUCGGUAUUAACUAUAAAUUCUUUCUUUUUUCUGAUCUGAUUUUUUUGGGGUAUAAACGCCUCCAGAUGUCUUGCUAAUUUCGGCAUCUCCUAAUGCUAGUUUCCAUAAGGUAAUUGUAUCCAUCGUUUAGUAGUCGAUGUAAAUAUUGCGAGAUUGAUCGAUUUCUAUUGUAUUACGGUACUGUAAAAAGCACACGACGUUAACUGUCUCCGGUAAAGAUCUUUUAAACUUUAAAUCGAUAUUAAUGUUUCCUUGUGUUAAAACACUGGUAUGAUUUUCCAACACCGCCUUAUCGGGAGUUAAAUCAAACACGUGAAACAUGUAUCCUUGUGCGUAUUCGGAAUAUGAUAUAUUAGUGUAUUUUUCGUAGGGAAUUCCCUCCAUCUCUUCGAAUAAUGUUGCAUAACUUCGAGCGUAACUUUUUUCAUCGAAAUCUGGAGUAUAAGGAUUAGGAGGAAUUAAAAUCGAAUCCUUUAUAACAGAAAUAUAAUUUAAAUCGAAAUUUUCAAAAUUGAGAGGAUUUAAAUCGAAUUAUCCAUUAAAUGCAUUAUUACAUACUAAUCCGAUUAUAAUUCUUUUUGGGAGUUGCAAUUUGGCACAGAGUAUUUGGUGCCCAAAUCAUGCGCAUGUAAAAUAAACCAGACUUGUAGGUAGUCAGGGGACCGAGAACUGAGUAAAAAUAAAAUACAAAACGCUGAGACUGUUUCUAUGUACAGUGUGAGAUUUGCACGUGUGUUGCUCCUGCUCUCCGAGACAUAGCUUCAUCCCAAGAAUGGCUUCGCUGCUUUUCUUGUUUUCUUUUUAAUAUGUAUAUUAUUGCUAUGUAUAUCCAAUGUGUUUAGAUGAUUUGAUUAGUGAUUAUUACUUAUUAGUAGUAUUAUGUGGGAUUCUACAUAAUUCUACUUAGAAUUUUCGACAAUGAGAUGUUAUAUUGUUGUUUUGACUUAGAUAUACAUUAGCAGAACAGUAUCAUAAUUUAACUAGAAUAUUAUGAAAAUUUUCAAAAGAAAAUAAUGUAUGGCUUUAUUAUGCUAGUACAUUUUCAUUUUUUUCCUCUUCCUUCUGUUCUUGUAUUCAUGUUAGAUCUUUUUUUCAUGUCAGAUUUUCUCAACUUUGGAUAGAACUCUGAAUAUCAAGACAACCAAAAAUAGGCAGUUGAAGAUCAUUUUUCUGUUUUACUAAUACCUUAAUGGAGAAUAUUUAAAUGUGUAUCAACAUAUUGUUUAAACAGAAUGUAUCAAAACCAAAUGUAGAAGUCUGCAAUUUUUGUUCCCAGGGUGACAGUGCAUUACAAUAUAGCUGGAGAACAUAACAAUGACUGUCGUUCUGAAGAUACAUUGAGAAGUU